GAUGAACGCUGACAGAAUGCUUAACACAUGCAAGUCAACUUGAAUUUGGGUUUUUAACUUAGGUUUGGGUGGCGGACGGGUGAGUAACGCGUAAAGAACUUGCCUCACGGCUAGGGACAACAUUUGGAAACGAAUGCUAAUACCUAAUAUUAUGAUAAUAGGGCAUCCUAUAAUUAUGAAAGCUAUAAGCGCUGUGAGAGAGCUUUGCGUCCCAUUAGCUAGUUGGAGAGGUAACGGCUCACCAAGGCGAUGAUGGGUAGCCGGCCUGAGAGGGUGAUCGGCCACAAGGGGACUGAGACACGGCCCUUACUCCUACGGGAGGCAGCAGUGGGGAAUAUUGGACAAUGGACCGAGAGUCUGAUCCAGCAAUUCUGUGUGCACGAUGAAGUUUUUCGGAAUGUAAAGUGCUUUCAGUUGGGAAGAAACAAAUGACGGUACCAACAGAAGAAGUGACGGCUAAAUACGUG
rnacentral:rRNA from 1 species